rnacentral:rRNA from 1 species
UGAGGAAUAUUGGGCAAUGCCCGCAAGGGUGACCCAGCAACGCCGCGUGGAGGAUGAAUGUCGUAAGAUUGUAAACUCCUGUUAGAGGGGAAGAAUAGUACCGGUUGGACCGGUAUAUGACUGUACCUUCAGAGAAAGCCCCGGCUAACUACGUGCCAGCAGCCGCGGUAAUACGUAGGGGGCAAGCGUUGUCCGGAUUUACUGGGUGUAAAGGGCGCGCAGGCGGGAUAAAAAGUCAGUGGUGAAAUCCUACAGCUUAACUGUAGAACUGCCUUUGAUACUUUUAUUCUUGAGUUCGGGAGAGAGAGACGGAAUUCCAGGUGUAGUGGUGAAAUACGUAGAUAUCUGGAAGAACACCAGUUGCGAAGGCGGUCUCUUGGUCCGACACUGACGCUGAGGCGCGAAAGCGUGGGGAGCAAACA